ACGUCGUGAGCUGGUACCGCAAGACGAUUAUUAGCGGCCGUUUCUGUGGACUGUAUGAGCUAGUGAUAGUACCUCAUUCUGGACUCUCCAAGAAGCGGCGCAUUGGGAGCAGCUCCGCUUCUACGCUGUUUGAUAAACAAGGAUGGAACACAGUUACGGAUGGACCUACACGGCUGCCAGCACUGGUGGGCCCUAAAGCUGUCGCUAAGGACAAAACUAAGAAG